CUACGGGAGGCAGCAGUGGGGAAUAUUGCACAAUGGGGGAAACCCUGAUGCAGCGACGCCGCGUGAGUGAAGAAGUAUUUCGGUAUGUAAAGCUCUAUCAGCAGGGAAGAAAAUGACGGUACCUGACUAAGAAGCCCCGGCUAACUACGUGCCAGCAGCCGCGGUAAUACGUAGGGGGCAAGCGUUAUCCGGAUUUACUGGGUGUAAAGGGAGCGUAGACGGUUAUGCAAGUCUGGAGUGAAAUCCCGGGGCUCAACCCCGGAACUGCUUUGGAAACUGUAAAACUAGAGUGCAGGAGAGGUAAGUGGAAUUCCUAGUGUAGCGGUGAAAUGCGUAGAUAUUAGGAGGAACACCAGUGGCGAAGGCGGCUUACUGGACUGUAACUGACGUUGAGGCUCGAAAGCGUGGGGAGCAAACAGGAUUAGAUACCCGUGUAGUC
rnacentral:rRNA from 1 species